CCGCUCAGGCCCAAAUGCCCCUGGCAGGCGGGUCUCUGGCCGGAAAUCUCCCCGCCUUGGGGCGGCGGGCAAGGGAAGGGGCGGGGGCCAAGGAGGCGGGCCUGGCGGCAGGAGGUGGGGGCGGGGUCCCGGCGCGGAGGAUGCACGCGGGGGUCCUGGGGCUCUCCGCCCUGCUGCUGGCGGCCGACGAGAGCGCGCGUGAGUGCGGGGCAGCCAAGGCCUGGGCGCCUGCAGUGCUCACCCCUCCAACACCCUAACCCACCCAGAUGCCCCCGGACGUACGCGCCAUCCCUGCCUCUGCACUGUGGUUUACUACUUCUCCGCAGGACAGCUCCUCUGGGGGGGACUGGCCCUGGCUGUGCUGCUGCCCGGCUGCUUGGUGCAGGGCCUGAGUUAUCUGUGGUUCCGAGCAGAUGGACAUCAAGGUCAUUGCUUGCUGGUCCUUCUGCAUGGCCUACAGCUUGGCGUGUGGAAGCGGUAAGGACUGGCAGCCUCCUCUCGACUCUGAGGCAGGAUUGCAUGAGUGCAGUAGGAGGGCUCUUCUGUGCACGUGGACUCUAUCCUAUGGUCCUAGAAUUUCAAGGAUGGGCGAUUUUCAGAGCCACCAAGUGGAACCCUUGCUCUGAUAUGGGCCCCCCUCUUCCAGCCUGCACUUCCUGGAGCAUCUCUAUCAUCAGGGGCUCCUACCCUAUAUAGCUAUGGCCCUUCCAAAGCUUUCCUUGACUUCAGCCAAAUUCUAUCUUUCUGUUGUUUCCAUUCAUGGCUCGAGGCCUUGGAGCCAUAGAAGGUGACCUGCUUAAGGCCGUUCCAUUUAAACACCUACUACCAUAGUCACAGAAGUGGCGUAGAUUUAACCACAGACUAGGAGCAGAGCUGGCCUGGUGACAUUUGCAUCAAGGCUUUAUUUCAGGAACAAGGCGUUUGGGAGCCAGGGCCAGUUUUUCCCACAAAAAAGACACCUGGUUGGCCUAGUGUCCUUUAGGCUUACCUGUGGUCCCCUUUUUUUUUUUUUAAUUUUUCUCCUUAUCUUUUCUUUUUCUUUUUUAAUUGCAGUAACAUUGGUUUAUAACAUUGCAUAUAUUUCAGGUGUACAUCGCAAUCUAUUUCAAAUUUUGUGUAGAUUACAUCAUGGUCACCACUCGAAGACUAAUUACAAUCCAUCCCCACACAUGUGCGCCUGAUCACCCCUUUUGCCCUCCUCCCUUCCCCCUUCCCCUCUGGUAAGCACCAGUCCAAUGUCUGUUGCUGUGUGUUUGUCGUUUUUACCUUCUGUCUUCUACUCAUGAGUGAGAUCAUACGCUAUGAGACUUUCUCCCCCUGACUUAUUUCACUUAGCAUAAAUCCCUCAACGUUCAUCCACGUUGUCACAAAUGGCUGGAUUUUAUCAUUUCUUAUGGUUGAGUAGUAGUCCAUAGUGUCUAUGUACCACAUCUUCUUUAUCCACUCGUCCCUUGAUGGGCACCUAGGUUACUUCUGUGUCUUGGCUAUUGUGAAUAAUGCUGCAAUGAACAUAGGGGUGCAUGUAUCCACAUAUUUGUGGCUUUUCUGUUUUUAUUCCUGUAGUUGAUUUCUAGUUUCAUACCCUUGUGGUCAGAAAACAUGAUUGGUAUUAUAUCAAUCUUCUUAAAAUGAUUGAGACUUGUUUUGUGGCCUAAUAUGUGAUCAAUCCUGGAGAAUGUUCCAUGAGCAUUUGAAA
rnacentral:lncRNA from 1 species